UUGCAUUGUAUACUUUGAUGUUGAUGUGGAUGGAUGUUGGAUGACCCAUUAGUCCUCGGUAUGAUAUGAUGAUGAUGAUACGGUAUGGAAGUCCAGUGAGGCCCAUUCUACGCCCCUGGCACAGAGUAAGAGAAAGACCAGUGAGGCCCAUUCUAUGCCCCUGGCACCAUUGCAAUGUGUAGAGGGCUAUUGGUGACAAGUCCAUCCUUGAU
rnacentral:lncRNA from 1 species